AAUAGGGAGUAUAUAGAUUUUUGUGAAUCACUUGAGUAAAGAAACAUCUUUAAAUUUAGUUAAGGUGAUUAAAACUUAUUUUAUAGAUACUAUAGGAAAAGUACUGUGAAGGAAUAGAAUGAACAAAAUUAAGAGUUAGGAAAGAUUUAUAUUUGUACCUUUUGUAUCAUGGUCUUGUUAGAGUUUUCUUUUUAUAGAGUUUCUCGAAAUCUAAUGGGCUAUUUUUAUUUAUGUUUAUAGACUAAAGUAAUUAGUUGUGGAAAAAACUUAAUUAAAAAUAAAAAUAGAAAUGAUAUUUUAUUCGUAUUAGAUGAUAGCUAGUUCUCUUUUAAAAAGUAUAGAAGUACUGCAAGCUGGAAUGCUUUGAAAUAUCAAUAAUGUUUUAGAGCAGGCAGUUUUGUUAAAUUUUAGAGGAUAAACUCUAAAAUAUUAAAUAAAUUUAUGGUAUAAUUUUAAUUAAAAUUUAAGCUUGAAAAUAGCUAUUAUUAUGAUUUUGUUAUAAUUUCAUUAAUAAUCUUAGAAAAGGAUUUAUAUGUUUAGUACAAAUAAGAGUAAGCUUUUAAAUCUUUAAAAGUUAAGUUUAUGCUAGAAUGAGUAUUUAUUAUUAUUUGUUUUUGAAAAAUUAUGUAUUGAAAUCGUAAAUUUUAUUAAUUUUAAAAAGUCGUAUAAAGGAACUCGGCAAAUCUAAUAUUCUGCCUGUUUAUCAAAAACAUGGCUCUUUGGGAAUGGAGAUAAAGAGUCGGACCUGCCCAGUGAAAAUUUUUAACGGCCGCGGUACUCUGACCGUGCAAAGGUAGCAUAAUCAUUUGCCUUAUAAUUGAAGGCUCGUAUGAAUGGUUUGACAAGAAUAUAGCUGUCUCUAUACGAUUUUGUAGAAUUUUAUUUUGAAGUGAAGAAGCUUGAAUAAAAUUGAUAGACAAGAAGACCCUAUCGAGCUUGAAAAAAGAUUACAGAUGCUUUAGAAUAUGUCUAAAAAAUUAUCUGUGGUAAAUUUUGGUUGGGGCGACUUAGGAACAAAUUGAGCUUCCUAAAUUCAUUUAAUACAGACAAGAUGAUCCAAAAAAUUUUGAUUAAUGAAAUUAGUUACCGUAGGGAUAACAGCAUUAUCUUCUUUAAGAGUUCUUAUCGAAAAGAGGGUUUGUGACCUCGAUGUUGGACCAGAAUGUCCUAAAGAUGCAGCAGUCUUUAAGGGUUGGUCUGUUCGACCAUUAAAAUUCUACGUGAUCUGAGUUCAGACCGGCGUGAGCCAGGUCAGUUUCUAUCUUUAAUUUAAACUAUAAAUUUAGUACGAAAGGACCAAUUUAUUAUAACUUGUUGUGUCGAAAGAUGUAAUUUAAUGAAGGUUAUU
rnacentral:rRNA from 1 species